UGCUUACUAGUCUAAAGAAGACGUUCACUUUGAAAGUGAUAAAUAGUUUUAGAGAAACUGUAAGCAA
rnacentral:tRNA from 1 species